GUUCCCUGCGGUGGCGUGGUCUUCAUCCAGAUUAUUUAUUGAUAACCGUAAUUGUCCGAUGAGUGGGAAUAAGAUUGCUUCAUGGUUUCAUCUUAAACGAGCCUGGACCAAUCAUUGGCUAACCUAGAGAAAUCACAGUUAGGUAAGACGGUAGCGGGAUAUAAGAAUCCUGAGAAGCAGUGAGAGUGGUCCAGAGAUCAAGAGGAUUCUGGGAGUAAAUGACAGAGCCCGUCGGCCGCCCCAACCCUCCGAUUAUUAUUUUGAUUAAUUUCUACCGUCAUUCGGUAGCCAAGAUGGCCUCAGGUAGAUUCUUGGAAUCCUACUGUUCUGCUAUUGGCACUAGUAUUUAUCCAGAAGCCCUUGGAGAAGUUUUUAGGCAGAUAUUCAAGAUUUGGUCCAGCAAGAGCCUCAGGCUCAUUUAGGUAUAAUACGAGCAUCACGUAUGGCCGCGCAUGCCCAUCUGUCUGGAAUACAAGAUUCACAGCAUCCGUACAAGCUAAAGCAUCACUCUGUAAGAGGCUCUAACGUGGCUGAACGAAGUUCCUGAAGAAAUUGCAAGCAGCCAUCAUCCUGAAUCUCCGGUGGAAGGAUAAUUCGGUCUAAUUCCGUGGUCCAGGAUGAUUUCAGCUAUCUCCGGUAAUCGGCCAGGCCCGCCUUGCGCCACGAACCAAAACCAGUAAUAGGAUGAAAUUAAGAGGAGACGUGCCCUUCGCUAAUCUAUUAAUUCCUUAGACUAGACGGCAUUGGGCGUUGAUUUUUAAUCCCGAAUUAGAAGGCCGGAUAAUUUAUAAAAAAAUUUCAAAUAAGAAAUAAAUUCAAAAAGAUAUUCAAUGAUAGUACCUACAUAAGAAUUCUUAUAGGAAUUUCAAAUCGUUUCGGAAACAUUCCAAAAAGUUUAGUCUCUUAACUGUUAUCCCUAUUGUCAAAUUUUUUACCGUUAUACACAUAUGUAUACUAUAGUACGUAAUAAACGUCAACUAAAGCCAGUGCACUUCUGUUUGGGCCUAAAA